rnacentral:ncRNA from 2 species
AGAGUACCAACUUCCUCAGGUGCCCCGCGCGAGCAGCGGCGGGGUGAAACGGGAAGACCGGUACAGCCGCACCCAGCGGCGAGUCCGGCGCUGCCCCCGCAACGGUAGGUGGGGGGCGGAUCAGAAGGCCACUGCAAGGCGUCGUCGUUCGGCGGCGGGCCCUGCGGGAAGGCGAUCCGCCCGGGGUCACCCGACCCCACCCACGAGCCCGGAGACCGGCCUGAGGGAACCCAGGUGC